ensembl:lncRNA
AGACUGAACAACAACCGUACUGUACAAUGUCGCAGAGGUGAAAAUCAUCACUCCCCAAUCAGACAACAAUCAAUCAUCAAUCAGAAGACAUACCUCCUCCUGUUUCCUACCCUAUCACAGUUCCUUUCCCUUGGUUUAAAAACCCCAUCAGUUGUUUGCUCUAGAGCUCAAUCUCUCUGUAAAUGCCAUGUAUGUAGAUCUCUGUGUUUCACUCUCUCUUUGUGUCUUAACCUCUCUUUUGUUUGAGCACCUCCAAAUCACUUUGUCAUCUCCUGUGAGUAUUGUUUUUGGUUAUGGUGUUUGUGUUUGAUUGCUGGUGGGAAAAGGGGAAACCAAGACAAGUCGCCCAUGGGCAUACACUACCCGUAGGUAGACUUUGUUAAAAACACUAGUUAGAACUGGGCGGACCACCCACUGUAUUUUUGGUUAGUUAGGUAGCUGUUGUUAAAAUAGGCUAGUCUAGCUUAGGGGUGUUUUGGAUGCUUAUUGUUUCUUUCCUUGGGUCCAGCUUAGCCCCUUUUCCUGCUCCCCCCAUUACCGUGUGUUUUACAAUAAACCCUGAGUUUGACGGUAUAAUUUCAGUUAUCGUGGUUAUUUCGUUCACACUUUGACUUUGUCACAAUUAUAAUUUGCAUGAGUUAUGUUACGGGUCUCAUUACCAUCCCCCCUAGACUGUCGGGCCAAAAGGGAUUCGUAACACUCCAGCUUCAGCGAUUUUUGCAAUUCGUUCCAGCCAUUGGCAGCAAAGAACUGGAAGGCAGCCAAAGGUGGUGUUGGCUUUGGGGUGACUAGUGAGAUAUACCUGCUGGAGCACGUGCUACGGGUGGGCGUUGUUAUCGUGACCAGUGAGCUGAGAUAAGGUGGAGCUUUACCUAGCAUAGACUUAUUGAUGACCUGGAGCCAGUGGGUCAGGCGACGAAUAUGUAGCGAGGGCCAGCCGACAAUAGCAUACAGGUCGCAGUGGUGGGUGGUAUAUGGGGCUUUGGUGACAAAACGGAUGGCAUGGUGAUAGACUGCAUCCAGUUUGCUGAGUAGAGUGUUGGAGGCUAUUUUGUAAAUUACAUCGCCGAAGUCAAAGAUCGGUAGGAUAGUCAGUUUUACGAGGGUAUGUUUGGCGACGUGAGUGAAGGAGGCUUUGUUGCGAAAUAGGAAGCCGAUUCUAGAUUUAAUUUUGGAUUGGGGAUUUUUAAUAUGAAUCUGGAAGGAGAGUUUACAGUCUCGCCCGACACCUAGGUAUUUGUAGUUGUCCUCAUGUUCUAAUUCAGAACCUUCCAGAGUAGUGAUGCUAGUCGGGCGGGCGGGUGUGGGCAGCGAACGGUUGAAAAGCACGCAUUUAGUUUUACUAUCGUUUAAGAGCAGUUGGAGGCCACGGAAGGAGUGUUGUAUGGCAUUGAAGCUCGUUUGGAUCUUUUUUUUUAUACAAUGUCCAAAGAAGGGCCAGAUGUAUACAGAAUGGUGUCGCCUGCGUAGAGGUGGAUCAGGGAAUCACCCGCAGCAAGAGCGACAUCGUUGAUAUAUACAGAGAAAAUGGUCGGCCCGAGAAUUGAACCCCGUGGUAGCCCCAUAGAGACUGCCAGAGGUCCGAGAGUUUACAUACACUAGGUUGGAGUCAUUAAAACUCAUUUUUCAACCACUCCACAAAUUUCUUGUUAACAAACUAUAGUUUUGGCAAGUCGGAUAGUGCAUCUACUUUGUGCAUGACAAGUAAUAUUUCAACGAUUGUUUACAGACGGGUAAUUUCACCUAUAAUUCACUGUAUCACAAUUCCAAUGGCAUUCCAGAGGGACAUCAGAGACUGUAACGUUCUUUGCUUCACGGAAACAUGGCUCACUGGAGAGACGCAAUCCGAAGCGGUGCAGCCAGCGGGUUUCUCCACGCAUCGCGCCGACAGAAACAAACAUCUUUCUGGUGGCCAUUGCAAAGCACUACACUGACCUUAUCUGAGGCAUCCUCGUUCUUGAUGAGAAGAAGUGUGCGGCCCUUCUGGAGAAGCUGUCUGCUCAGAUGGCCAAGAAGAUUACAGAGGUGAUCUACAAGCUUUACUGCAAUCACCAUGAGAACAUGAUGGCACAGUACCGGGCCAAGCCCGACAAAGGAGUUGGGGAGAAGGAGGGAUCAGCUGUGCUGGAGCAGGAGAAGAAGGCUGCUGGAGAGAAACGGUUGGAGAUGGAGCGCACCAUGGAGGACGAUCGCAGAAGCAAAGACGAGAAGUUGAAGCAGAUGGAAGAGAAGAUAAGAGGAUUUGAAGCAACAGGAACAGGACUUCCACAGGGCCUUGGAGUGCAAGAUGCAGGAGCAGAAGGAUCUACUGGAGAAGGGCCACAAGGAGAAGGCUGACUUAAUGAGACAGGAGAUAGAGGAGUUCAAGAAUAGCAACAAACCUGAGAAGGAAGGAUGUGGUUGCCUUGAGUCUACAGUCAUGCCUGUUCUUCGAUUUGGAUUGGAUGCUGCCAACACUAUUUCAAUAUACGCUCAUGAAGGCUAAGAUACUCCAGGAGGCGAAGGAGGAGCCACAGGAGUUGGAGCGAGCACUAGCUAGCAAGCUCCAUGAGCAGGAAAAGCUGAUGGCUAAUGGCUUCACAGAGAAAGAGGCAGCCAUGAAUGAGGAGAUACAGAGCCUGAGAGAGAAGGAGGAGGCCAAGCGUGAGGAGAAGGAAGAGCAGUCUUGUAACUUCAGAGCCAUAGCACAGGGUGUCAUGGAGAGUGUCAGCAAUGGCUUAGGUCCCUACUUUAACUAUAAGAAAGCCUGUGAGCAACGCAAGACGAUUGUGUUCAAGGAGCACAUGACUCUCAAGCAAGACGGCCACACCCAAACUCAAAACAGGAGCAGUUGGCAACUCUAAACACAACUCUGCCCAAAGUCAACACAGGUACAACUGACAAAAGCCCUGGCUCAGAGGUCUAUAGGAUUCACCAGAGAUUGGUCAAUGGUCCAGAUCAGCAGCCACACCUUUCUCCAGUCUCAACAUUAACCAGAAGAGCUACUAGGAAAUAGUGCAACAGAAAGACUGCUGUGCAACAACAGUACAAUGGGGCCAAACCAGCUGUCACUUCACAGAAGUCAGUUCCUCAGUUUAUAACCAUUAAUUUAUCAUUCUGAUAUAAUUAAAUAUUUAAAAGGUUAUUACAUACCAUUCUUAGAAUUGUAGUUAAGAUGUGUGCUUUGUUUUGUUCUUGGAUGUAGGGUCAAGUAAAUUAGCUUAACUUGUUUUGAAGUCAAAUUUGGCUAGAAUGGAACUGCUCAGCUUCAAUGUGCUUUUAAAUUCAGGGUUGACCAUUAUCAUGUUUUGUAAUUGUUGUUUAAAUAAACCUUGCUUCAUCUCUAUUUCUGCCGCCAUUCUAAAAUGGCAGCAGUUUUACGGGUGCCCAACCAAUUGUGCUAUUAUGUGGGGGUUUUUCGCGUUAUU